ACAAUGGCUGCCAGGCUCUUUACGACUGUGCUAUUGGUAGAGCUAUUUCUUCGGGAUUCAAGCUAGUAUGCAACUGGCUAAACAGUGGAGAAAGCUUGGUUGUUACUGUGCCCCAUCUCUCCUCUAGGGUAGCCAACAAGAUGUAAGCAGAAGUCUUAUGGUGUGGCUUCUGGGAAACCUCUCCAAAGAUCUUCAGAGAAUGAUCUUUGCAGGAAAUCUCUGUUACCUGAAGAUGAAAAGGAAUAUGAACCAACUCUGAUCCCAAUUCAGACCUCGCCAACUGACAGUUCAGGUGAAGGCCCUCUGGGGUGACCAGAAAGCAAAGAAAAGAUGAGUAUAUUAUUGCAGAACAGUUCUCUUUCCCUUGGGAUGAAAGAAAAAAUAAAGAAGAGAGCUAAGCCUCGAAAUACAUUGCCAGCACUACAGGAAAGAGAAGCCUGGAAGUACAUUAUGGGAAAAGAAGUAGAUAGGUCUUCAGUGUAAAAUCUGAAGGGGUCAUAAAGCAACAGGCAGAGACAACAACUCAAAGGAAGAAAAGCUACAAAGAAAAGAAAUUAUUAUCUUAAAAAAAAACAUCACUAUUGUGGAGGUAAAAGACAAGAGCCACAGGUUGCCACAUUACAGCUGUCUCUCUGUAUGAAACAUAUGGGAAAGGUUAAAACUAGACACAACUAAUUAAAAAGCAUAUAUGAUGGGUCUAAUAAAUUUGAGAAGUAUUUCGUUUCACUG